CCUUGACCUCAAAUCGGGUGAGACUACCCGCUGAACUUAAGC
rnacentral:rRNA from 3 species